rnacentral:rRNA from 1 species
UACGUAGGUGGCUAGCGUUGUCCGGAUUUACUGGGCGUAAAGAGCGCGCAGGCGGUCGUUCAAGUCGAGUGUGAAAGCCCCCGGCUCAACUGGGGAGGGUCACUCGAUACUGAUCGACUCGAAGGCAGGAGAGGGGAAGCGGAAUUCCCCGGUGUAGUGGUGAAAUGCGUAGAUAUCGGGAGGAACACCAGUGGCGAAGGCGGCUUUCUGGCCUGUUCUUGACGCUGAGGCGCGAAAGCUAGGGUAGCAAACGGG